rnacentral:sRNA from 1 species
UGUCUUGGCUGCACACGUGCUACAAUGGCCGGUACAAUGAGCUGCGAUACCGCGAGGUGGAGCGAAUCUCAAAAAGCCGGUCUCAGUUCGGAUUGGGGUCUGCAACUCGACCCCAUGAAGUCGGAGUCGCUAGUAAUCGCAGAUCAGCAUUGCUGCGGUGAAUACGUUCCCGGGCCUUGUACACACCGCCCGUCACGUCACGAAAGUCGGUAACACCCGAAGCCGGUGGCCCAACCCCUUGUGGGAGGGAGCUGUCGAAGGUGGGACUGGCGAUUGGGACGAAGUCGUAACAAGGUAGCCGUACCGGAAGGUGCGGCUGGAUCACCUCCUUUCUAAGGAGCACUUCUAAGCCAGGCUUGCCUGGUUCAGAGGCCAGUACAUCAGCGAAUGUCUGAUGCUGGUUGCUCAUGGGUGGAACGUUGACUACUCGGCACGAUCAGGAUGAGAACUGUUAGUACUGCUUCGGCGUGGAACACAGGAUCUUGGCUGGACGUGUCGGGCACGCUGUUGGGUAUCUGAGGGUACGGCCGUUGGCCUGCUUUCAGUGCCGGCCCCAGUGCACUCGGGAUGUUGUCCCGGGGUGAUGGGUGGUUGGUCGUUGUUUGAGAACUGCACAGUGGACGCGAGCAUCUGUGGCCAAGUUUUUAAGGGCGC